GACGAACGCUGGCGGCGUGCUUAACACAUGCAAGUCGAACGGAAAGGCCCCUUUGGGGGUACUCGAGUGGCGAACGGGUGAGUAACACGUGAGUAACCUGCCCUUGACUUCGGGAUAACUUCAGGAAACUGGGGCUAAUACCGGAUAGGAAUCCUUGCUGCAUGGUGGGGGUUGGAAAGCUUCGGCGGUUUUGGAUGGACUCGCGGCUUAUCAGCUUGUUGGUGGGGUAGUGGCUUACCAAGGCUUUGACGGGUAGCCGGCCUGAGAGGGCGACCGGCCACAUUGGGACUGAGAUACGGCCCAGACUCCUACGGGAGGCAGCAGGGGGGAGUAUUGCACAAUGGGCGGAAGCCUGAUGCAGCAACGCCGCGUGCGGGAGGACGGCCUUCGGGUUGUAAACCGCUUUCAGCAGGGGCGAAGCUUGUGGUGACGGUACCUGCAGAAGAAGCACCGGCUAACUACGUG
rnacentral:rRNA from 1 species